UGCUGUAUUUUAAUAAUCUGUCAAAAAUCAAAAUCAUCAGGAUAAUAUUAGGAUGAUAUUAGGUAUUGAUUUUCAAACAAGAAUUAGAUUACAGCGAUGGUCAAAAGCAUUUAGAUAUUGCUUUGAAAUCUACAGAUAAGGUAUGGCAGUUUCGUUUUAAAGAACAAGAUGUUAAAGUUUAUGAUAAAAUUGUCAUCAGAAAUACUGUCCACUUGCAGUAUUUACAUAGGAAAAUGUUGGAGGAUGAAGCUCUACCUACUGCCUCAGGUUAAUUUAAAUUCUGAAUUGCAACAACAGCAACAAGCAAGAAGGGCACCAUUAAAUGAAUAUUAUACACAUAAAGCAACAACAGAAUAAAAAACCAAAAUAUGAACACCAGCAACUAAAACAGGAACCAUUAAAUGAAUAUUAUACCCAGCAAUAACAGCAUCAAAUAAUGGAAAUAAUGGACCUUAUUGCACAAAUCAAAAACAAAAUUUCAGCAUUACUACUUUAUUGGUUAUAUCAAUAAAAGAAAUUGAGUUUAUCAGUCUAGAUCCUACAAGCAAGCAGAUCUAUCACAUAAUUUUAAAUGAAGAUUUAUCUAUCAUAGUAAUUUAUUCUAAUAACGAAAAAAAAACUUUGGAUCAAAAAAUAUUUUCUUCUGAUGAGGUUUAUGAAUAUUAAAGUCUGUUGAAGUUUGGCCAUUAUGUGUUGGUAUACAAUUUAUUUAUGAUGUUACAGUAGUUAAACCAUCCGAGUACGAAACAUGUUUAAAAUCCACUAUUCUUAAUGAAUGGAAACUACCAACUUGAGAGGAAGCUAAGAGAAAGGUUCUAUUGGGUUGACUACAAGGAAAAGGGAUAUACAUGAGGAUCUGGAAGGGCUAUAACAUUACGUCUCAAGCCAUGGGACAAUAGGAAACGAAAUUCAAAGGAAAAUAUUACAAUACGUGGGAUGCAAAUUAUAGUGCAAAGAAUUGAGAAAAAGAAUUAUUA